GCCGCGGUGUGAGGGAGCGGGAGUCUUCCUUAGCUUCUCCGCCAUGGGUGUCGCUUCGUAGCCGGGCUGCUCCGGGAAAGGCCUCGUACAGCACGCAUUCACCAGAAUCCUGUCAGCUUUCCUCUUCUCAUCCAGACGCCUGGCCAGGAUCCUCGAUAAGACCGUGACCCCCAACUUGGACACCCCAUAAGGAAAACUAGACAAUCCACCAGCCCAGGAGGGGACAAGCAGGCUUAUUCCUCCUCCUCGUCAUCUCUGGCUCCAGCCCCACCCUGGCCCUUGCUGGCAUUCUUCCUCUUCACGUGGCUGGGGUUGGCCACCCCAAUAGGGAAGCAGAGGGAGAAGUCAAUGUGCUUCUGGGAAUCCAGGCGGACAGUGAAGAACAGGAUAUUUACCACCUGCUCACGGACACGGAUAUGACACUGUUGAAUCAGCACAUGAGCGUGGCGGAUGGACUUAGCCAAGCCAAGCUUGAAGACCUGGGUCUGUAGGAAUCUCUAAGAAAUCAUUGAUCUUCAGGCCCAGGAUGUAAUCCAGCUUCAUCUUGCCCUCAUCCAGCACCCCAGUGCGGACCAGCCACUGCAGCAGGGCAAUGCCUUCGAACAGACGCCGUGGGUCCUUCUCAUCAAGCGUCAGCAGCUCCCGGGCGGCCUUAUGGAUCUUGACCAGGGUAAAUUUGACCCUCCAGACCUCACAUUUGUUCUGGAGCCCAUACUCACCAAUCAGCUUUAGCUUUUGGUCGAGAUGAGGUUUCUCGAAGGGUCUCUGCAGGGUCACAUAAGUUUGGCAACAAACCCAGCUCUGGGCCGCUGGCAUGUUGGCUCCACUUGCCCGUCUAUGCCUAAGCACAGGCCCUGGUCACUGAGAAAGAGCUCAAAUUUUUUAUAUAUUUCAUCUAAGGUGUUGAUUCUAUUGAUACCCUUAUCCUUUUAACAUGCCCUUAUCCUUUUAAUGUUGGUAAUGAUGCUACCUGUCAUUUCUGAGACUGGUUUGUGUCUUUCGUGUUUUUUUCUGAUCUGUCUGGCUAGAGGUUUACCAAUUGAUUUGAUUUUCCUCAAACUUCUGGUUACAAUGAUUCUCUCUCUCUCUCUUUUCCUGAUUAUAUUAAUUUCUGUUCUGAUCUUUGUUUCCUUUCUUCUGCUUACUGGAUUUUAUUUGCUCUUUUUCUGGUUUCUUACUGUAAAGGCAGAAGUCAUUGAUUUGCAUUGAUUUGAGACUUCUUUUCUAAUGUAGGCAGUAAGUGGUGUAAAUUCCCUUUUAGUAUGACUUUAGUGGCAUCUCACAUUGAUAUGUUUUCAAUUUCAUUCAGUUUAUUUUUAUUUAUUUUUUAAAUUAUUUAUUUAUUUAUUUAUUUUGAGUUGUGUAGCCCUUUAUUAGCAACUAAAAUAGAAGGUAUCUGUUGUACAACAUGGGUAGUAAUUGACUAUAACUGGAGAUUUAUUAUAUUCUAAUACAGAUCAUUUAUAAAUGCAAUUUCUUUAUUAAAAAGCUUCCACCUU
rnacentral:lncRNA from 1 species